UUUCAUCAAGUUAUGGCUCUGCGAUCACUUCCAUACCCUCACUGGUAUCGUGAUUGACAGUUGCCUGACUCAAGCUCUCCUGAACAAGGGUAAGAGAAUUGUCAACUUUUUUGAAAGCCAAAAGACCAAGUUGAGGAAAGAGAUCCAGUGCCUGAAGAAUGAAAUCGAUGGUUACAUCAGAGGAAAUGACGAUCUAACAGCCACUGCUGCCAUUCUUUUGUUGAUGACCCACUUCAAAGAGAAGGACAAAUCUCUGUUCCUCUUGGCAGAUGUCACUGGAACUUAAUAAGGCCCAAAUUCCUUUGCCAGACACAUCAAGGCUGAUCAUGCUUGGAAAUACUCUAUUGGGUUUCUCAAAACGGAUGGUGUCGAUCGAGGUGUUGGGGGUUACCCUGGGGGUCGGGUG